AAGCUAGCCAAUGAAUCUGCUUACCUGAAUGUGUUUCAGCAGAAAUUUAGACAAAGCUGGUGAUAGUAAAGCGUUGUUACUAGCCUUAAAGACAUUGAACUCAUUAAGGUCCCUGAAAAUGGCUAUAAGA